GGAAGAGUGAAUCGUAGGCUUCCCUAAUGUAUUACCAAGUUUAUGUACCAUUAACAUAAAACUAAAUAAAAAGUGCUUGUGUGAUUAUGAGUUUCUGUGUUUAUAUUAAAGAAAUCAACAGGUUAUGGGCCCAGGUGUGAUGAUGUUAAAAUCGUUGGGAUUGUUUUCAAUUGUGUGACAAAACGGAAAAACGUUUAUUGCAAAAUGGCUACAUCGUCGGACGACUUCUUGCAAGUUGAAAAACUUGUUGGUCAUGCAAAUUUCAGUAUUUGGAAAUUUCAAAUAACUGUGUUAAUGAAAGCAGCAGACGUCUACAAUGUCAUUAUCGAAAAAGAUGAUACCGAUAAACGUGACAAGGAUUGGGAAAAGAAGGACGCCAAGGCACAAAGAUACAUUGUUACUACUGUUGACAAAGGUAACAUUGGGUGAUAUUAAUAAAAAUGAGUAUAUACUCUGGAGCAUAUACUCUUAAGUUUGAGCAUGUUGUUGAAGUUUAUACUCUAUUCAGCAUGAAAAAAAAUGACAGAGUAUAUACCCAAACUUCCCCUACUUUUGGAGUAUAAACUCAAGUGAAGCUGCAAAUAGUCUUCUUAUUCCCUGAUGUUUACGCUUGUAAACAUAACCAAAAAAUGGCAGAUGUAUCAUCUUCUGCCGGUGAAGAAGUGGAAUGCGGGGAAAUAACUGAUGCUAGCUUUGUGAAAAUCAUUUGCAAUUAUCUGGCAGUAUAUUUAAAAUCUCAAACACCAGAAGCAAGGGAAAAAAAUAAUAUCUGUUUGCAGUCAAUACGAAAUAAGUAUGUUGGUGUUUCUGGAAAAAAUUUCAGUGAAGCUCAAAUACUUAAGAAAAUAAAUAACAUGAAAUCUCGUUUGAAGGCGAAAACAUAUGUCCAGAAAACGGGCAUCAAGAAAAUUGUACUUAAAGAUUGGGAGCAAUUAUUAUUUAUUGCCCUGCAAGGAGAGUGCAAUCCCACUUUGCAGCAAGUUCCUGGUGCUGUAUCAGUCAGAUGUAGCGAAGAUGGAAAUAAACCACAGCAAUCAACAUUGGCACAAGAAAGUGAUGUGCCUAGGCCCCAUAAUGUACCAUCGCGGCCUGUGAAACGAAAAGUCUGCAAUAUCGUUGCUGCUUGUGAGACUGUUGAAACUGUAAAGUUAACAAAUUCAGAGCUCCAGCGUCUGGUGCUUCUCAAGCAGUUAGAAGUACGUACUUGAUUUAAAGAAAAAGAAACUGAUGCAAGAAUUAGGACAUCAAGAAGUAGUCUAUUCGAACCAUGUGUGUAAAAGUGUUGAAUGUGUUGCCACACACUUAGGCUAACUUAAACAAUAUUACAAGAAAAAAUUCAAAUUUUGUUAACAAUAACGCAUUUAAUAGGUAUUUCACCCACCUGCCUUAAUUACAUAAUAAAAACAAAUGUAAGUUACACAA